AGAGUUUGAUCCUGGCUCAGAACAAACGCUGGCGGCGUGUCUUAAGCAUGCAAGUCGAGCGGCAAGGGCAGCAAUGCCCCUAGAGCGGCGGACUGGUGAGUAACGCGUGGGUGAUCUACCUUGGGCAUGGGGAUAGCCAUUAGAAAUAGUGGGUAAUACCGAAUACGUUCGUUACCGUGAGGGUAACGAGGAAAGGCGCUACGGCGCCGGCCUGGAGAUGAGCUUGCGUCUGAUUAGCUAGUUGGUGAGGUAAUGGCUCACCAAGGCGAUGAUCGGUAGCCGGCCUGAGAGGGUGUACGGCCACACUGGGACUGAGAUACGGCCCAGACUCCUACGGGAGGCAGCAGCUAAGAAUAUUCCGCAAUGGACGAAAGUCUGACGGAGCGACGCCGCGUGGAUGAUGAAGGCCGAAAGGUUGUAAAGUCCUUUUGCUGGGGAAGAAUAAGCGUGGGAGGGAGUGCCCGCGUGAUGACAUGAACCGGCGAAUAAGCCCCGGCUAACUACGGGCUGGCCGCCGCGGU
rnacentral:rRNA from 1 species